rnacentral:rRNA from 1 species
UUAAGCGACUAAGCGUACACGGUGGAUGCCCUGGCAGUCAGAGGCGAUGAAGGACGUGCUAAUCUGCGAUAAGCGUCGGUAAGGUGAUAUGAACCGUUAUAACCGGCGAUUUCCGAAUGGGGAAACCCAGUGUGAUUCGUCACACUAUCAUUAACUGAAUCCAUAGGUUAAUGAGGCGAACCGGGGGAACUGAAACAUCUAAGUACCCCGAGGAAAAGAAAUCAACCGAGAUUCCCCCAGUAGCGGCGAGCGAACGGGGAGCAGCCCAGAGCCUGAAUCAGUGUGUGUGUUAGUGGAAGCGUCUGGAAAGGCGCGCGAUACAGGGUGACAGCCCCGUACACAAAAAUGCACAUACUGUGAGCUCGAUGAGUAGGGCGGGACACGUGGUAUCCUGUCUGAAUAUGGGGGGACCAUCCUCCAAGGCUAAAUACUCCUGACUGACCGAUAGUGAACCAGUACCGUGAGGGAAAGGCGAAAAGAACCCCGGCGAGGGGAGUGAAAAAGAACCUGAAACCGUGUACGUACAAGCAGUGGGAGCACGCUUAGGCGUGUGACUGCGUACCUUUUGUAUAAUGGGUCAGCGACUUAUAUUCUGUAGCAAGGUUAACCGAAUAGGGGAGCCGAAGGGAAACCGAGUCUUAACUGGGCGUUAAGUUGCAGGGUAUAGACCCGAAACCCGGUGAUCUAGCCAUGGGCAGGUUGAAGGUUGGGUAACACUAACUGGAGGACCGAACCGACUAAUGUUGAAAAAUUAGCGGAUGACUUGUGGCUGGGGGUGAAAGGCCAAUCAAACCGGGAGAUAGCUGGUUCUCCCCGAAAGCUAUUUAGGUAGCGCCUCGUGAAUUCAUCUCCGGGGGUAGAGCACUGUUUCGGCAAGGGGGUCAUCCCGACUUACCAACCCGAUGCAAACUGCGAAUACCGGAGAAUGUUAUCACGGGAGACACACGGCGGGUGCUAACGUCCGUCGUGAAGAGGGAAACAACCCAGACCGCCAGCUAAGGUCCCAAAGUCAUGGUUAAGUGGGAAACGAUGUGGGAAGGCCCAGACAGCCAGGAUGUUGGCUUAGAAGCAGCCAUCAUUUAAAGAAAGCGUAAUAGCUCACUGGUCGAGUCGGCCUGCGCGGAAGAUGUAACGGGGCUAAACCAUGCACCGAAGCUGCGGCAGCGACGCUUAUGCGUUGUUGGGUAGGGGAGCGUUCUGUAAGCCUGCGAAGGUGUGCUGUGAGGCAUGCUGGAGGUAUCAGAAGUGCGAAUGCUGACAUAAGUAACGAUAAAGCGGGUGAAAAGCCCGCUCGCCGGAAGACCAAGGGUUCCUGUCCAACGUUAAUCGGGGCAGGGUGAGUCGACCCCUAAGGCGAGGCCGAAAGGCGUAGUCGAUGGGAAACAGGUUAAUAUUCCUGUACUUGGUGUUACUGCGAAGGGGGGACGGAGAAGGCUAUGUUGGCCGGGCGACGGUUGUCCCGGUUUAAGCGUGUAGGCUGGUUUUCCAGGCAAAUCCGGAAAAUCAAGGCUGAGGCGUGAUGACGAGGCACUACGGUGCUGAAGCAACAAAUGCCCUGCUUCCAGGAAAAGCCUCUAAGCAUCAGGUAACAUCAAAUCGUACCCCAAACCGACACAGGUGGUCAGGUAGAGAAUACCAAGGCGCUUGAGAGAACUCGGGUGAAGGAACUAGGCAAAAUGGUGCCGUAACUUCGGGAGAAGGCACGCUGAUAUGUAGGUGAAGUCCCUCGCGGAUGGAGCUGAAAUCAGUCGAAGAUACCAGCUGGCUGCAACUGUUUAUUAAAAACACAGCACUGUGCAAACACGAAAGUGGACGUAUACGGUGUGACGCCUGCCCGGUGCCGGAAGGUUAAUUGAUGGGGUCAGCGCAAGCGAAGCUCUUGAUCGAAGCCCCGGUAAACGGCGGCCGUAACUAUAACGGUCCUAAGGUAGCGAAAUUCCUUGUCGGGUAAGUUCCGACCUGCACGAAUGGCGUAAUGAUGGCCAGGCUGUCUCCACCCGAGACUCAGUGAAAUUGAACUCGCUGUGAAGAUGCAGUGUACCCGCGGCAAGACGGAAAGACCCCGUGAACCUUUACUAUAGCUUGACACUGAACAUUGAGCCUUGAUGUGUAGGAUAGGUGGGAGGCUUUGAAGUGUGGACGCCAGUCUGCAUGGAGCCGACCUUGAAAUACCACCCUUUAAUGUUUGAUGUUCUAACGUGGACCCGUGAUCCGGGUUGCGGACAGUGUCUGGUGGGUAGUUUGACUGGGGCGGUCUCCUCCUAAAGAGUAACGGAGGAGCACGAAGGUUGGCUAAUCCUGGUCGGACAUCAGGAGGUUAGUGCAAUGGCAUAAGCCAGCUUGACUGCGAGCGUGACGGCGCGAGCAGGUGCGAAAGCAGGUCAUAGUGAUCCGGUGGUUCUGAAUGGAAGGGCCAUCGCUCAACGGAUAAAAGGUACUCCGGGGAUAACAGGCUGAUACCGCCCAAGAGUUCAUAUCGACGGCGGUGUUUGGCACCUCGAUGUCGGCUCAUC